AGAUAUUCAAGGCCUGUCUGGAUGCCUACCUGGGCAACCUGCUCUAGGGAACCUGCUUUGGCAGGGGGGUUGAACCUGAUGAUCUCUGGAGGUCCUUUCUGACCCCUACAGUUCUGUGAUCAUCCAUGCAGAGAGGCGAGAAGAGACCUGUGGCUCCUGGGCAGGGUUUGUCCAUCCCGCUGGAUCCCAGCCGCCUCGUGGGGAGGACGAGGGAAGAGCUGCUGAGCUCUUGGGUGGUGGGGCAGAGGCAGCUCCUGUCUCUUCAUGGGGUCCCUCUGGCUCGGGCCCAGACGGCCGGACACAUGCAGAUCCCUAACCACGUCCCUGGGCAGCCCUGCCUCUGCCAGGCACACAUGGAGUGGCAAAAGAAACUGCCUUUUAAUUUGUGAUGGGAGGAUGUGGUUCCUCAUCUCCUAAGGUGGAUGCCCGAAGUAAGCAGAUAUCAGUCCCUAAAGUGCCCAUUUUUCAGUUUCAUGGCUCUGUUUUCUUCCAGGCGGUGCCAGUGGCUCAGCUGCUGUGUGUUGCUUUUCUCCUCCACUUGUCAUCCUGGGGGGUUUGGUGUCAGGGCAGGCCGACACCUACACUCUCUCUGCAUGCUGUCUCAUUCCACAGGUGCGUAACGCCCCACGUUUGUUGUUACUAGACUUAAUUUGAACAAAAACCCCACAGAUUGGAUCUUCCUCACAGGACCCAGUCAUCACGUAGUUUUAUCUCACAUAGCAGUAAGCUUUCUUGGGACUCUUAGAAAAUCCAUACCUUGCCUCACCACUUGGAAAGUUGGGAACAUGCACUGGGAUUUUCAUGUGUUUUUCAUUCUUUUUCUCAUGCAUUUUUCAUUCUUGCUCUCUCUGCAGGAGGAAGUCUGUAGCUGGUGAAAAUCAGAGGUUACAUUUAUGAGGAGGCUCUGCAGCUCUGCCUGCGUUUCCUUGCAGUGGCCGCAGGGGUCUGGAGCAGCUUUACAACACCGAGCCCGUGGGCUCUUACAAGAGGAGAGAAAGUUCUUCAUCAGAAGGUGGGGCUCUCUGCUGCCCCAGGGGCAUAGCUGAGGACCCGGCCUCAUUAACAACUACCUGCCUGUGACAAACGGGGAACAACUCUGCAGGUCGGAGACAGAUACAGGCCAGGCUGUACCCGCAGGCUCUGUAAUUUUAGGAACUGAAUUUAUCACCAGAUUUUUUUAAUGCGACCUGUAUAAGGAAGAAGCAAGUCUGAGAUCUUGGAACGGGUUGCCCAGGGAGGUGGUAAGGUCACCAUCCUGGGGUGUUCAAGGAAAGGUUGGAUGUGGUGCUGGGAACAUGGUUUAGUGGUGACAUUGAUGGUAGAGGGGUGGUUGGACCAGAUGGUCUUGGAGGGAUAUUCCAACCUUUAUGAUUCUAGGAUUCUGUGAUUCUAUGAUUCUAUGAUUCUAUGAUCUUGCUGCACUGCUGCCAGGAGGUCCCAAGUUACUUCUGAGCUUCUGUGAAAGCCUCAGCGGCCAGGACUUGGUUUAAGCAGUUACGUGAAGGAAGUCGUUGGCUCUUUCCUACCUGUGCCUGGCCCAAACUCACAAAGGAGGAUGAAGAGGUUACCUGAAACCUUUGUCCCAUUCCUGCCAGAAACACAGGACUGGGGCGAUGCUGUUGAAACUCCUUCGGUGUGAUAACCGAGAGCAGAAUGAGUACUGGGAUACACCACUUGGUUAAUUAAAUAAACCGGCGACCUCUGAGCCAGGAGUGAAAACAAGAAGGAAAGGAGGAGAGUGGGUUUUCUCCCCGCCGCACCUCUGCUCUCUGGUGCUUUGGUCCUUCAGCUGCUCAGUGGGGCUGAUCUCCUCCCGGCAGCUCGGGAUAAACCCAUUUUUUAUGCCUUAAAGAAGCCCUGGCCUCACUCUUACCAUACAGCAGCUGCUAUGGGAUGGCUCCUUCCCUAGUUCCUGGAGGCUCCCUAAAAAUCAGCAGAGAAAAAGGGACGCUUCUGCAAGGCAUCAAAGAAACAGUGCUGAAAGAGGAGCUCUCAGUGCCCAGAAGAUGGUGUAGGAAGAUGCCGAUUCUUUGCAGGUGGCCGGCUGGAGCAUCACCUGCUCCUGGUGCUGCUGUGGAAACUGCACUUUGCUGGUGACUGAGCGAGCACAAAGUGAACACAAAGCCAGCAGCUGAAGCCACGGCCACCUGCAUGGAUGUGGGACCCAAAGGACUUCGGUGGCUCAAGGAGCAGAUGGGUGCUCACCCCAAUAUAACCUCCCUCCACUGCCAGUGUUUCCUUCAGAGGGUACCUGGGCUGUGGGAGCAGCUUUUGCCAUUCACAGAACCUGGGCUCAGGCCUUUGCUCCAAAGUAAAGCUGUGUUUGGUGGGCAGGUUUGUUCUUUGUGAUGGAGACAGGGUGGUCAGCAUUGAUAACCUGAUCCAGAACGUGCUGGGAUGGCACUGAACGCAGAUUGGGACUGGUUUCCCUCCAUGGCAAACGGAGGAGAAAACUCUACCCUUCUGUAAACUUUCCCAUAAUUGAGCUUAUGAAUAGAGUGGCCUGGAAGAGACUCUUUAUUAUUCCCUCAUCCAUUUGUUCAGAGAUAUGGACAUAUUAGUGCCGGAAACAUCGAAGGCCUUAUCUGGCCUGACCUUUCGAAGAGCAGACUAUAAAAUUUUGUCCAUUAACCUCACCACUGAGCCCACUAACUCACUGCUGGCUAAAACAUUUCUGCCAUUCUUGGUCUGAGGAGAACACGUGGUGGAUAAUCCACCAUUUCCCUUAAUCGUUUCUUUUAAUGGCCAGACUGUCUCUCCGUUUAAAGCAGUAAUGAUCCCUGCUGCUCCUGCAAUGUCGCUGAUUCACGGCUUGCUGGAGUUUGUGGUGUGCAUGCAGGAAGGCUGGGACGAAGUGGGGAGGUGGCUGUAGGUUAGGAGGGAGGUGACACGGAGGAUUUGGGUAGAGGGGCAUGGUAUAUGGGGAGAGUGAGGUCUAAGGUUCAGGUCUCAGGAGACUGACUGUGUUUUGAUGGUAGCCAUAAGUGCUGGGGUUUAGGGGGUAUUUGCUCUGGGUGUUGGCAGAGCUGGAUGGGAUCUCAGAGGAAUUGCUGGGGCCCACAGAGGACGUCUGCUUGCUGCUUCUGCUGUGCAUGGCUCCAGGGCUGAAUCAGCAGCUCCCUGCCGGGUUGCCUUGGUCAAACCAGAUGAAAAACUCCAGUGUUCCCCCAUGUCCUGUCUGUCUGCAGCACUUUUCCAUCUUUGUUAUCACAAGCCCUAAAUUCACUCUCAAAAUCACUCAGCUCCUUGUUUGUCUGCUUGCUUAGGUUCCAUAAUUACAGCUGCUGCUGAGAGAGCAAAGCCUGCUCCUGGAGACCACCAGCACAGCCCACGGGGAGCACCGAGCCCCCUCUGUGUCGGGAUAUGCUUGCCAUGGGGAAGUGGUGUGAGUCGAGGGGCAGCUCUGCCUUUCUCCGGACUGAACAAAUAGAGCACGGCACAGCCUGCUCCCCACUUCUGUAGCGCUGCCUUCACAAGCAAGCAGCAGCCUGCUGGGUCCAGCAAGAGGCUCAACAGUGGAGGAAUUGGCUCCAGAAAGGAACAGCAUCGGCUGGAAUGCCUUGACUGGAAACUCUGCUUGUCAACGAGUUGUCGCCUUCCCUAUGGACAGGUGCCAUUUUCAGUGAAACCAUCUCAAACAGCACGUGCAACUCACGGAAGUUACACAGCACCAGGGCAGAGAACAGACUUGCAGGCUGAUGAAUCCCUAGCAUCAGGAAAUGUUUGCAACUGCUCGUGAAAACCUCUGAGGAGCUCUGGAGCCUGUGCUUCCCUUCCUCCUGACACGUGCAGUUUGUGCAGAGAUGGCAAAAUUCACUGUGUCAGUCACAGGUAUGGUGGAAGACAUCCUAUCAGAAACGUCUCUACGUCACCUGGUUGGCCAAGACACCUACAGCUCUUUCAGGUCUCAGCAGCCUUGGAGCUUGCAGCACGGGAGGAGGUAAGCAACUCCCUUCUGGUGGCAUCCCAUGCUCUCCAGUGCCUGAUCGUUGCACUCAGUCUCCAGACCUGAUGUCAAGAGGCAAUUUUCCCUCCAGGUUCAUUGGGGUCAGUCCACCAGGACCGUCUGGACCAAGCUGCUACGAAGUGCUGGGAUCGGCCUGUUUUGGGCAAGACUCGUCUUGGGUUGACAACCAUGAGAUUUGGUGUUCUCUGUGUGACUGGAGCUUGCUGUGUGAAGGCUACUGAGGAUUUCUGCUUUUGCUGCCUCCCCCGUGUCAGACAGGCAGUCUGGCCCCAUGACAAGCCGAAGGUGCCCUGCUACCAAUUCAACGUCUCAGUUUCUGGAACGUUGCUGGCCAAUGUCUUAGGUAAUAAGUGCUGUGGAUGGAGGAAUGCAGCCUUGUUAUUGCCUGGCUAAGGGGAAUUCAUUCUACGCAUUGGCUUUCCCAGAGUUUUCCACCCAGGCGUCACUGACUCCUUACCACCGCAUAGACAUUUCUGUAUUUCAGCAAAAUUCCCCACGUCUAAUCUGGAUAGUCCUGGCUGGGUGGAGUGCAAAACCCACAUUGUUAACUCCGGAUAACAGUAAUUAAAAGAAAAUAAAAUCAAAGGUGCUCAGAAAAGAAAUGGAACAUUUUUCUCUGGAAGCCAAAAGAUUAUAUUAAACUUCGUCGGUUUAAUAAAAUAUUAUGAAGUUUGGGAGCGUGUUUUCCCUGGGACUUAAUCUGUUUAUACAUCUAAAAAAGUAAAUAGAAUAUCGCUUUCCUUGACCACACAGAAAACCCGAUCUACGGGG